AUUGAACGCUGGCGGGAGGCCUAACACAUGCAAGUCGAACGAGUGGCGGACGGGUGAGUAAUAUCUGGGAAACUGCCUGAUGGAGGGGGAUAACUACUGGAAACGGUAGCUAAUACCGCAUACCAUCGGAUGUGCCCAUAUGGGAUUAGCUUGUUGGUGGGGUAACGGCUCACCAAGGCCACGAUCCCUAGCUGGUUUGAGAGGAUGACCAGCCACACUGGGACUGAGACACGGCCCAGACGCCUACGGGAGGCAGCAGUGGGGAAUAUUGCACAAUGGGGGAAAGCCUGAUGCAGCCAUGCCGCGUGUAUGAAGAAGGCCUUCGGGUUGUAAAGUACUUUUAGCGGGGAGGCGGUACCCGCAGAAGAAGCACCGGCUAACUCCGUGCCAGCAGCCGCGGUAAUUC
rnacentral:rRNA from 1 species